AUUGAACGCUGGCGGCAUGCCUUACACAUGCAGGUCGAACGGUAACAGGUCUUCGGAUGCUGACGAGUGGCGAACGGGUGAGUAAUACAUCGGAACGUGCCUAGUAGUGGGGGAUAACUACUCGAAAGAGUGGCUAAUACCGCAUGAGAUCUACGGAUGAAAGCAGGGGAUCGCAAGACCUUGUGCUACUAGAGCGGCCGAUGGCAGAUUAGGUAGUUGGUGGGAUAAAAGCUUACCAAGCCGACGAUCUGUAGCUGGUCUGAGAGGACGAUCCGCCACACUGGGACUGAGAAACGGCCCAGAGUCCUACGGGAGUCAGCAGUGGGGAAUUUUGGACAAUGGGCGCAAGCCUGAUCCAGCAAUGCCGCGUGCAGGAUGAAGGCCUUCGGGUUGUAAACUGCUUUUGUACGGAACGAAAAGCCCCGGGUUAAUACCCUGGGGUCAUGACGGUACCGUAAGAAUAAGCACCGGCUAACUACGUGCCAGCCGCCGCGGUAA
rnacentral:rRNA from 1 species